rnacentral:rRNA from 1 species
CCUACGGGAGGCAGCAGUAGGGAAUAUUGCUCAAUGGGGGAAACCCUGAAGCAGCAACGCCGCGUGGAGGAUGAAGGUUUUCGGAUUGUAAACUCCUUUUGUUAGAGAAGAUUAUGACGGUAUCUAACGAAUAAGCACCGGCUAACUCCGUGCCAGCAGCCGCGGUAAUACGGAGGGUGCAAGCGUUACUCGGAAUUACUGGGCGUAAAGAGUGCGUAGGCGGGGUAUUAAGUCAGAGGUGAAAGCCUGUGGCUUAACUACAGAACUGCCUUUGAAACUGUUACUCUGGAGUGUGGGAGAGGUAGGUGGAAGUCUUGGUGUAGGGGUAAAAUCCGUAGAGAUCAAGAGGAAUACUCAUUGCGAAGGCGACCUGCUGGAACAUUACUGACGCUGAUGCACGAAAGCGUGGGGAGCAAACAGGAUUAGAUACCCGAGUAGUC